rnacentral:rRNA from 1 species
UACGGGGGGAUGCAAGCGUUAUCCGGAAUUAUUGGGCGUAAAGCGUCCGCAGGUGGUUGUGCAAGUCUGCUGUUAAAUCGUGGGGCUUAACUCCAUAACGGCGGUGGAAACUGCACAACUUGAGUUUGGUAGGGGUCACGGGAAUUCCCAGUGUAGCGGUGAAAUGCGUAGAUAUUGGGAAGAACACAUAGCGGACGAAAGCGCGUGACUGGACCAAAACUGACACUCAUGGACGAAAGCUAGGGGAGCGAAAGGG